GAUUCCUGCAGACCUCAUCCACCAGGAAGCACGAGCACUGUGGGACAGCAUGAAAGCCGGCUCUCCUGCUCCCAGUCCGGCCUGGAGGUGGUGGGAGACGCCGGCAGGGCCAUCAGAAACCCAGCUGGGUGGCUUUGGGCUGCAGCCCCCCCAUAAACAGAAAUUACAGACACAUUUUAUAACGCAGGCUCUGGGCCGUGCGUGCCUCGCUUUAGGAUAACAAAGUCCAAAGCCAGCCAAAGAGCUGUUCCUAUUGCAGCUGGAGAAAUAAGGAUAAAAGAAACCAGCUGUCCCACCUCCCCAGCCGGCAGGGGGGCUUGCUGGUGACCUAGUGCAGCCGGGCCCACCCGGGACUUGGAAGGACAAUAGGAAUCGGGAUGGGGCGGGAAUGAAGAGGCCGUUUCCAAAUCCCUCUGGGCCAGGUGCCAACCCAGAGGCAGUCAACAGAGGAGCUGUAGGAACUUUCUUAUGCAAGAGAGAGAAGAUUGUCCACCUCACUGGAAGAAAGGGGCUCAGAGUGACCCGACAGAGUCCUCUCACAGCAGUUCAUGAAAUGCAACUGAAGAAGCCCAGGAGAAGAGGUGGCGGAAGGAAAUUGCCAGCGGGAACCCGGGUGCUCACAGCUGGGUGCUCGUGCGCUCUCAAGUGCCUCGCCAGCCGCAUGCUGUGAAACUUUUGAAGUCAUUAAAUAGUGAAUAUCUCCAGCAUAUCACAACUACAGAGCCGUCUCUGCUAAAUAACUGGGCUAUAAAGCGCAACUGUGCAGACCCUUAUUUGAGAAUGUGCUGCACUGUCGUUCCCGCUACUUGCACCGGAUAAUCUUCUGCGGCCAACUGUGUUCAGUUGUACUGCAUUUAUAAAGAGGGUUGAAAUAUAUUUGUAUGUUUUGCUGAUGCUGUAGAUAAAUGNNNNNNNNNNNNCCUGUCUAUCCCUAUCACUGCAUAAUGUUGAAUGAACAAAUAGCAUACAAGCGAGACUAGUUAUUUAAGAUGCAGCAUAUACUUCAAAGUGAUACAGCAGGGCACAAAUUGCAAACAACAUUUUUGACAGGGUGCAAUAAACUGAACUUAAAAAUCGCUACA
rnacentral:lncRNA from 1 species